GCUGGGGGAGCGGAGCGGGACGGUGCGCGGUGCGGUGCGGUGCGCGGCUGGGGGUGCGGGCUGCGGGGCGGGAUGCUGCGGUUCAGCCCCGCCGGGACGGUGCCGGUGCCGCCCCGGAGCCGGGCGCGGUUCCCCGGUGCUGCCCGUGCCGGGAGGCGCCGCUCGGUUCCGCGCCCUGCGGCUGGGGGCGGCUGAGCCGCGCAGUGCCCGGGGAGCGCCGCUGCCGGCCGGGAACGGCUCCGCAGGGCUCCCGGCUCCGCUCCUGGCUGCGGUGACCCGCGGGGGAUGGAGCCGCACCGGGAUGGAGCCCCCGGGGUGUCCCGGCCCCGCUCCUGCCGCUGCGCCCCGAGCCCCCGUCGGUGCGGCUCUUGGGGAAGCCGCUCGGGGCCGUCGGGGUCAGCUCGUGUCGGGCCGAGUUAUGCGCUGGGGGGUUCGUCCCAGGCUUUGUAGGGGCUGGGAAGUCCUCGUGCCCCUUGGUCGGGCCGCUGCAAGGCUCGCUUUUACCUGGAAAAUCCAGGUCUCUGCCACAGAUGAGCAAACGAACCAGAAUAACUGAAGCCCUCCCUUGGCACGGUGAGGGCUGAGUGGAAGGGGCUUUAAUCGCUAAAUAAAAACGUGUGGAACGGGUCGGCAGGGAGCAGCUGCUCUUACGGCCUUACUCGAUGUACCUUUGUCACCGCAUAGUUAGGGGAUGAGUUAAAUGCCUAAUGUCAGCACUUCGAGGCUUCCACUCUGUUGUAAUCUCAUCUCCCGCUGCCAGAUGGCUGUGGUGGGGCAGUGCCAGCACAGGGGCACCGCGGGACCUCCCCAGCCAAGGGAUGGCAGCUUCCUGAGCUUUGUGCCAGUGCUGGCCUCGGAAACCCCUCCUGGGACAGGUCAGCCUCGGUCCCAGUGCCUCUGAGCAGUGCUGCUGCUCGAGCUGUUUGCUGGGUUUUGCAGAAGCUGGCUGCUUGGUGCAGGUUGCCCUGGGUGGUGUUGGUGCUCAGCAGCAAGGUGGGAUGACCAAGGUGUUUGCUGUUCAGUGACACCUUUGCAUGGGCAGGUGCAGCUGAGGAUUGUGCUGCUGCUCGUGGAGCUGUGGUCUGUUGGUUUUCCUCAGGCAUCACGGUGCUUCCUGCCUUGGCCAGGGCUUUGCUUGCAGGGCUGGAGAUGCCCCGGGAGCAGCAGGGUAAGAUGUGGGCAGCAAGGAGGGCUGGGCAGACCGCACUGUGGUAAAGCUGCCUCUGCACUGGACCCAUUGCCCAGGAGCUUCUGAUUGUCAUCCCCAAAGGGGCUGGAGCCUGAGGCUGUGCAGCGGAGAAGAAAAUAACCCUCUAAGCUAAAAGUGCUGUUAAAAGCCAAGCAGGAGUGUGUGACUGCAAACCUACCCAAAAGCACGGUGCCCAGGUGCUCAGGCUCUGCCAGUGGGAGGUGGCACAGCUCCUCAGCUUCUGCAGCAGGGCUCUGGGCAGCCCCAGGAUGAGCUCUGACUUGCCUUGCUGCCUCUGGACACCUGGAGAAGUUCUGCUGUACUUCAUGUGCUCUGCCACAGUUCCUUCGGGCAUGCCUUCAGCUUUAUGUCUCAAUCUCAGCAGCUGUAAAAUAUGAAUGGUCAAGCUGAGAAGGGAUUUAGGAGGACUAAAUCAAGGAUGUUGUACAAAAAACCUGAUGGGAGUAGCUCCUGCAAUGCAAAAUGUCAAUGCAGUGAUGGAAAGCGCAGCUCCUGAUGAUGGCUCCGCACCGUUUCCACUGCUGGAAGUGGGAAGGACAAAGCUGGCUUGUGGGAAGGGAAUUGAUGGCUAAAAUGAGACACUUACCUGAGCACUUUGGAACUUAUUACAGCUGCUGUUUAAUUAAAUUUGGGUGGGUUCUUCCCAUUCCAUGCACCUACUCGCAGCUUGUUUUGUUCUUAUAGUUGAGACCAAGUGUCUGAAGCACUGUCUUGUUUGUGGAAAAAUCUAUUCAUCGUAUUUUUUUAAUUUGCCCUUCUCUUAUCAUUAAUUCACACAUUGUUAGUGGAGAAAGGAAUCCUGCCAACAAUGUGCUGUUGGAAGAGCAAGAUAUUUGCAGAGGCUCUGGUUCUGUUAUCUCUGUCAUCCUGUAGGUUGAGAUCUGGCAGCUCUAUUGAAAUAGUUUCCUCAGAUAUCAGUGCCUUUCCCUGGUCUUUAUGCUGCUAAAAUAAAAGGCAAUAAACUUCUUACUUCACAAAGUGUAAUAUCAAUUAGAGCCUCCAGUAUUCUAGAUAGUACUAACUCAUUCACUGACUGACUUCAAAUUCUCAUUAGGUUUUAAGACAAUCUUCAUGAAUGUCACUUUUUUUUUUCUGUGAGCCUGGUAAUUUGGAUAGCUGCUCAGAAUCUGGUAGGGAAACAAAUAGCUUUUAAGUUAAGGCUACAAUAGAUGUUUUUCAUCUAUGAAAAGAAAACAAAUCAAAGCUAUCCUUUGCUGUUCCAAGUCAAAAUUAUUAUAGAUAGGAGCAUGUGCAGAACUGAUGAAUGUACUUUGAAGAGCAGUUGCUCGCACUUGCACAAGUUUAUUCCAUUUGCAGCCACUGUCAAGCAACCCCUUCAAAAAUAAAUCUUGUCCUGAGCUGCCCAUUCCAGAGGCUGUCCCUGCUACCUGGCUCUGGCUGCUCAGAGGUCUGCUUUGGGUGUUUUCUGCUCGGCUCUGAUGCUCGUGCCUGCUGUGCCAAGUGGCAUUGCUCUGCUUCCCUGGGCUCUGCCUGUGCUCACCAGGGAGCAGUUGGGUGCCCUGCAGGUCCUGCUCAGCGCUGGCUCCUGGAGAACAACUCCACAAGAGCUACUUGCAGUCUUUUUGGGGCACUUUCCCCCAGUUUGAGAGGCAGGCUUAAUGAGAAACAGGUGAUCCCCUUCCUAAAGGAAUUUAUUAAUAAGGUUUAGACUGGAAAACUAUCUAGGAAAAUGCUGAGUGAGAUGGAUUGCCCAUCCAAAUUACGAAUUAAGAUGCUUGAGGUCGAGCUUUUGAAAGGGGGCUUCUGCUACCCAAGGGAGGGCUGAUUGGGAUUCACCUACAAUGAUGAAAGGAUCUUAACUCACUAUUUUAGGAGGCAAAUUAAAUACUUUCAAAAUAUCUGUGGUUUUGUGGUUAUUUUUUCCCCCUUCCGGAGGUAUCCAGCCUUCCCUUUUGGGGGCCUUUAAGCCAAGUUUUCAAUGCCUCUGUGGUUACCUGAAAUUCUGGAUCAUCGUUUAGGUAACACCAAAAAGUGUUUUUUUGACAUUCAUUUAAAUUCCACUUUGAGCUAUCUGCUAAGCAGCAUUCACAGCCUUUGGGACUGUCCUGCUGUACUGCUUUGUUGAAAGGCAAACUGCUCAGUACCCUGAGCAGUGGUAACUGCCCUUGCACUUAAAUAUAUGUAUACAAAAGCUAAUCGAGUGAUGCAACUGAAAGGCCCUUAUUUAAACAAGCACACACAAGUUCAGAUUUGUUAGAUUAAUGUGAUCCUUUUGCCAGCAGUAGGAACCACUGAAGGGAAAAACCUCUCCUGGUAAUUGGACCAGGUUACUGACAACCUCAUUUAUCUGAGUGCUGCUGCUUUUCAGCUUGAAUUAAGAAAUGAGAAUAGAAGUAAGAAUAUUUGACGUGUGUUUCUUGCUGGCUCGGAGUGCCUAUUACCCAGGCUACCUUUACUCUGUACAGCUGUUUGAAGCAGGGAUACCUUGAGGACUCCUGGUAGUGUGCAGCAAAGUCUGUGCUCAGCGUUGGAGCAGUGCUGGCUGCUGUACCAGUUGCAGGGAGCAGCAGAGGAGCUGUUUCAGUGGGAGUGCAGCAGUGUCCUGCUUUGCCUCAGAUUUAGGGCAGUCUCCCCCUCUGCAUGCCCUGGGGUUGGUCUCUGUUGGCUCCAUCCCAGCUGCCAGCGUGCUGUGGGUUUGCAGCAGUGCCUGGCUGUGGCUGGGAUGUACUUGCAGGGAGCCUGGGGUCUCGGGGGGGCUGCCAUGGGCAGCUCACUGCACGUCCCUGGGCAUGCCAAGAAGCUUUUCCUAGCCACCACCUGGUGCUGCCGCUUUGGCAGAGGUUGGAGCCUCCAGGCCCGGCCCAGCAGGAGGAUUCGGAGCUCACUCUUUUCGGGAGAGGCGGUUACAUGUGUGCUGGGGCUGAGGCUGGAGAGGGGACGGUGAGGUGCCUCUUACACCUGGAUAUAAUAGCAAUAAUAGAACAAUCGCUGCAAAUCUGCCCUGCUGGACCUGCAGAUGGAGGGAAAGUGCAACCGAAGAGGCUUUCUCUAUGUACUGAGUCUUAGUUCUUGCCUUUAGCUAAAACCCAGCCCCUUGGACGUGGUAAUAUUUUGCUGUUGGCUGAUUUUCCUCCCCUGGCCCAUGCAGGACCUCGUAGCUCUGACUUGGGGUGUUGUACUUUUGCAGAACUUGCAGCAUUCCCCUCAUUGCCAUAGAGCCACCUCUUCUGCUGCGUGUAAAUGUUUACACCCUCCAGUUACUGGACUUCCUUUGAGGAAGCUUGACUUAGCUCCCAUUAUGUGAGCUUAGCUCUGUUAUAGUCAAAUAAUGACACCAAAUUAAUUGCUACCCAUCUGUAUCCUUGAGACUCCACAAUUGCACUGAGCAAACCAGUCCCACCCAUGUGAAUACGAUCUGCCGUUUCCUUUUCUCUUUGUUCGGGGCUUUCUCAAAGCUACAAUUGUUAAUCUCUGAAAUUUGUUGCAGCUGGAGGAACCCCACCCGGGGGGUUCAUGUGGUGCCUGGACUGGGACUUUGGGGGCAGGGUGUCCAAUGCCAAGGCUGCGAGGGUCUUUGAGGCUGCACCAGAAGCUUGCCUUGUGUCCUCAGCUCUGCCACAGGGAGAGGUGAAACCAGGACCUCGGCUCUCAGUGCUGUUGUCAACGUGUAGUAACUUUUUGGAAGCCAGCUUUUCCUCCUCUCUCCCUAAAAAGGAGGAGGAAGCAUACUUGAGGUAGUUACGUGUCUCCAUUGCCGUUUUUAGCCUCCAAAUAAGGUGUUGUGUAACGAGUGCUUGCGGGAUCCAGAAGGCUCGCUGCAGAUGCAGGAGGGCCCCGCUCAGCCAGGCCCUUCUGGAGCUGCCGCAGCCAGCCCCAAAAGCCCUGCCAGAGGCCGGAGGGUGCAGGAUGGCUUGUGCAGCAGUGCCAGGGAGUUGUCACGGUGCCAGGGAGCAGUCAGGGUGCCAGGGAGCGGUGCCAUGGGUGUCACCCAACAGCCCGUCCCCGUGUCCUCCGCUGGCGUGGAGCUCAGCGAGCUGCCUCCUGUCCGACCGCUGCAUGCAACACCCGCUCAGGAAGGCAUAUGUUCUUGGAAGCUUUCAGGGCCUUUGAUUAAUAACCAUAUUAGCCAAAUUUGCCAUUUGGCUGGAGCUGUCUGGGGCAUGGGGCUGGCACUCGCAGCGAGGCCCUGCUGCCCCACGGAGCCUCCUCCUUCCAGGGCGUUUCCCACCUGCUGCAGUUCAGCUUUGUGGUUAGACCGAGGCCCCGUGGGUACACAGGAGGAAAGAUGAUUAAAGGUCUCCCAGGGGAGCGUGACCUAAGCAUCCCUGAGCAGAUAAGGAUCUCCUCACUUCAGCAAUUGUCCUUUUGUUGUGGUGACUGACUUUGCAGCUGGAGCUGGCUCUGCCCUCCCGUUUCCACCUUCCUUGUGGAGUCACUGAGCCAAGUCCCCGUCUGCUGCAGCCCCGUGCAGUAGCACGCUUCUGCUGGAGGAGAAACGAAUUUGUCUUGACCCUGUGCUUGUGCAUGGCCAAAGAGAGACAGUGCAGCCCAAUCUGCACCUGCUCAGCUGGGUUAGACGUCGGUCUGCUCUUACUGUGCUCAGUUCCCUCGUGGCUCAAUCUCACAGUCCUUAAAGGAAAGCAAAAUACUGCUGUGGGCUUCUCCUGGCGCUUGGUUAAUCUGUGUAUUAGACAUUAAGUGGAGCUUCCUGAUCCUGCGGUGACAUGAGAUAAAUCAACCUCUGCAAAAGCAGCUAUUAGCUGAGGAUGGCAGGGUGUUAGCUUUCCCGUACCGCCCUUCUUGUGAGCGCUGUUUAAAGUUUGUAUUAAUAUUAAAUUUCAUCCACCCAUUAGUCCAUAAAGCAGUUGGCUCUCAAGGAAUGAGUUUCCUGGGAGCAGUGUGCUAGAGCUGCCCCGUGCUUCUGAGGCUAAACAAAGCGGAGGUGUUAAGUACAGCCCAAGGCAUUUUUUCCGCCCUGCAGCCUGUAUCAGCCUGUUGGUCACUGUCCGCAGGGACCUCGGCAGCCACCCCGACUGCUGAUGUUUGUGGUGCUGAGCUGUUUAUCACUAUGGUGUCAGACUGGAUGUGUGCAGACCACAAACCCGUGACAGCUAAAGGGGCUUCGUGUCCGUAUGGAGCCAAUUACGCCUAAGGAUGGAAAGUACUUGUGUUCCCGGGGAUGCAGCUAGCAGGGAGGGCUCGUUUCUGAGGGACCAUGCUCGCUGUAGCUGCUCUGUCCGCUCGGCCCCUUUGUGGUCCCAAAGUUUGGCUGGUUUCCCUGUGGCAAUAGCCCAGGCAUGGCAGGGUUUUUACUUGAGGACCAUUUGCCGGAAAACUCUUACCCAAGCUUAGUCUGAAGUCUCCUCUUCUUGGAUGUACUAAAUCUGUGGCACUUAAAGCCAGUGUUGUGAGGAGAGUGGAAAGAAGCUUAUUUAAAAGGGCUUUCAAGUCAAGGGGAUGUGGAAGCAGUGUUUUUUCCGUGUGUCAUUGGGGACGGUCCCCUUGCAACAAGCUCUGUUGUCAAGCUAACUUCAGCAGACCAAAUGGCUGAUGGCCAAGGUGUGCUGGACCGGUCAGGGGGCGGUGAUGCACCCAAACCUUCUGGAAUCGCAGCUGAGCCGUGAGCAGAGCAAGCUGGUGGGGCUGGACCUCGACCGGCUCCUAACUUCUAGCCAGGGGUCCAUCCUGCCGGGUGGACCUGCUCUGGGAGCUCAGUGCUCCUUUGUCCUCAAGUCUAAAUCAAGCAGGAAUGAAGUUUUGUUUUGUUCUGUUUUUCCCGAGGCACUUGGCAUUGUAGGUUCCCUAUUUUCAAAAACUGAGCAAACUUACCAGUGUCUAGGAUGGCCCUGCCUUUGGCCAGUGUAACGAACCACAGCAUUACACUGACCAAGAAGCUGGCAUAUUCCUGAGAUUGUUCAGAGAUGUUUUUGUGGGUAGAAUGGCCUCAGUUUCCUAUCAUUUCACUGCCUAAGAAUUUCCUCUGCCCCGACUUGCUUUCUCUCUCUUAGUAGCAAGAAUGCUAUCAGACUAAAAGCCAAAACAGAAAUCUUAAAGUGCGUUGUAUAUCUAGUCAUGGUGAGCAGAAUUUGCUUUUCUUCCAAGCAGUUUGUUGACACAGACAUUUUUGUAAAGGCGUUACAAAUGUCUUCACUCUUCACGUCUUAAACUCUCGCAUCUCUUUUAAAAUUGCUGUAUCCAGAUGGGCUUGGGCAUAGGCGGAGUCCAGGACAGUCCGUUUCACAGUCUUACUGGGUUUGGUGGUCUUUGCCAUCUUAUAUGUCUUGUUUUUCUUUUUUCUUUUUUUAAUGAGAAAUCUCCUUUUAUGCGUAUUUGAGGAGCUAGAGCUGAGCCGCGAGGAGAGGCUCCAUAUCUGGGCAGGGAGCCCUGCUGACCAGGCAGCCCGAGCAGCCGGCACGGCUCCUGUUGUGGCUGGCCCCUGUGCUGCGAUGGGAAAAAGGAGCCCAGAGCUCCCUGCGCUGCUGGGGGAGAGAGAAGCUGUCCCCCAGCUACAGAGACAUUGCCGUGCUCCACGUCCUCGCGAGGGCAGAGGCUGCCUGGAGAAGUCAGAGCUCCAGGAGGAAAUGUGAGAGGUGGUGGCUGAGUGCCCUGACCCGUGUGGAGGGGGCUCAGGAGCAUUUGGCAGGAUUUGCCCCCGCCAUGGGGAUGUCCCCCAGGUUCACAGGGCCACUCACGCUGCCCUGCAGGCAGUGGUGGGGAUGAGCUGCUGUCCCAGCCCCUUCCCCUACAGCUGCAGACCUGCACCUCAAAGGGCAGAGGAACCCGAGCCAUCCCAGGAGCUGCACGUUGCUUUGAAGAGCUGCUGGAUUUUCAUAUUUUUUCCAUACAUUUCCUAUAGCUCUAGAGUUGCGGCUGCCAUGCGUGGUGAGGAGCAGUGAGUCGUGCUAUGGACACCUGCAAAAACUUCUGUUUCCACAGAGAACUGAAGCUCCUGAUGGUGAAGGCAUCGGGGCUUGGCGAGAGCAAUUGCACAAAUGGGAAGGAUGGUGGCUGGGUCUUCUCUGCAGGUCUGAAUUUGUGUGUGGUGGAAAAUAAUGGCUGGGACUUCAGCUCCAUCUUAAGGAAACAGAUCCCCAACCUUCAGUACUUAGCUCAGAGGUGGGGAUUUCCCCUUAAUGCCCACAGCUUUGUUCUGCGGGUGAAACAGUGGCAGUUCCAGAUGAGAGCUGAGAGUUCAGUGUAUCAAAUCUGAUCCAUUUUGCUGUAUGCGUUUCAGCUGAGUAAAUGUGUAACCAGUGAGACCGUAGUGAAGGUUCAAAAGCACUUCCCCAGGGUGGUGUUUGCAGAGGAACUGUGCCAAGGUGGCAGGUGGGGAGGUGCAACCUGCAUUUCAGCCGGUCUGGUAAGCUUCACCAAGCCAAUAUCUGCUACAGGGUGGCAUCUCAAAGGCCCUCACUCGUGUUCAUGUCAGCAGAAGAAGCCGAUAGCUGAACAGAAAUUUUUAGCCCCUUUUUGUAUGAGGUCCUCCAGACUCGUCCUUCCAUGGCCGAGCUGGCGGCGGUUCCAUACACAGCAGCGUGGGCACCUCACUCCCCAGCUGGGCUGUUCACAAGGCUUCAGGAUGCACUGGGCAGCAUUUGGAGCUGAAAGCUUUUGUAACAGGGGCCCAUGAACCCUCAGGCAGUAAAAAAAUACCAGGUUUGCAUACCAGCGUGAAGGCUGCAGGCAGGUGGCCACCCCCUGGACGGCCGAGCUCCCACGCUGUUACCUGGGACGCCAAGGCUUCGGGUUGUCUUGUGGGGUGGCUCCAUGUGCUCUUGCUGCUGACAGUGCUUUUCUCUUUGCUCCCCAUCUGCAUGGGCUAUAUAAUGAGGCUUUUCCAAAUUAGUUUAUUUAAUCCAGAUGUUUGCAUUUUGAAUAAACAAACAUUCAUAGUCCCUCAUCUGUAUCACAGUCCCUUGUCUGUACUCAGCUUCUGUCUGGUUCAUUAAGAUUAGAGUCAUUUAAAAAAAAAAA